rnacentral:rRNA from 1 species
AGUGAACGCUGGCGGUAGGCCUAACACAUGCAAGUCGAACGGCAGCACAGUAAGAGCUUGCUCUUACGGGUGGCGAGUGGCGGACGGGUGAGGAAUACAUCGGAAUCUACUUUUUCGUGGGGGAUAACGUAGGGAAACUUACGCUAAUACCGCAUACGACCUACGGGUGAAAGCAGGGGAUCUUCGGACCUUGCGCGAUUGAAUGAGCCGAUGUCGGAUUAGCUAGUUGGCGGGGUAAAGGCCCACCAAGGCGACGAUCCGUAGCUGGUCUGAGAGGAUGAUCGGCCACACUGGAACUGAGACACGGUCCAGACUCCUACGGGGGGCAGCAGUGGGGAAUAUUGGACAAUGGGCGCAAGCCUGAUCCAGCCAUACCGCGUGGGUGAAGAAGGCCUUCGGGUUGUAAAGCCCUUUUGUUGGGAAAGAAAAGCAGCAGGUUAAUACCACGCUGUUCUGACGGUACCCAAAGAAUAAGCACCGGCUAACUUCGUG